rnacentral:rRNA from 1 species
GAAAGGGCGAAGCCUGUCCGCCUUCCGAGUGAGUGAAGAAGGCCUUCGGGUUGUAAAGCUCUUUCGCAAGGGAAGAAACGGUGCAGUCGAAUAAACUGUGUUAAUGACGGUACCUUGAUAAGAAGCACCGGCUAAGUGGGGGGCCAGCAGCCGCGGUAAUACGUAGGGUGCAAGCGUUAAUCGGAAUUACUGGGCGUAAAGCGUGCGCAGGCGGUUUUGUAAGUCAGAUGUGAAAUCCCCGAGCUCAACUUGGGAACUGCGUUUGAAACUACAAGACUAGAAUAUGUCAGAGGGGGGUAGAAUUCCACGUGUAGCAGUGAAGGGGCGUGGGAGAUGUGGAGGAAUACCAAUGGCGAAGGCAGCCCCCUGGGAUAAUAUUGACGCUCAUGCACGAAAG